GAGUCAGAUCGUGUUUGAAAUGUGGCCGCAAGAUUAGACAUCUGACAUCAAUGGGCGAUGAACGGCAGUUCUCCACGGCCUUCCACUCUUCCUUGAAAAGGACCUUACUGAUUUUACAAGACAUGUUUUGACUAUGAUGAAGAGAUGUCAGUCGGCCUGUUGAGCGUGAUCCCUGAGCUGAGGACUCUAGAGCCAUACCUAACUCACUGCAUUUAAUGCCACGUCUACUGCAAUCAUUUUGGAAGGUACAAUUGUAUUGGAUGAUCUGGAAAAUCCUCCCCAAGAUAUGCCUGCUCUUUGGACUUGGAUUUAUGCUAUGAAAUUAUAGUA